AUUGAACGCUGGCGGCAUGCCUUACACAUGCAAGUCGAACGGUAACAGGUCUUCGGAUGCUGACGAGUGGCGAACGGGUGAGUAAUACAUCGGAACGUGCCUAGUAGUGGGGGAUAACUACUCGAAAGAGUGGCUAAUACCGCAUGAGAUCUACGGAUGAAAGCAGGGGAUCGCAAGACCUUGUGCUACUAGAGCGGCCGAUGGCAGAUUAGGUAGUUGGUGGGAUAAAAGCUUACCAAGCCGGCGAUCUGUAGCUGGUCUGAGAGGACGAUCAGGCACACUGGGACUGAGACACGGGCCGGACUCCUACGGGAGGCAGCAGUGGGGAAUUUUGGACAAUGGGCGCAAGCCUGAUCCAGCAAUGCCGCGUGCAGGAUGAAGGCCUUCGGGUUGUAAACUGCUUUUGUACGGAACGAAAAGCCCUGGGUUAAUACCCUGGGGUCAUGACGGUACCGUAAGAAUAAGCACCGGCUAACUACGUGCCAGCCGCCGCCGUAA
rnacentral:rRNA from 1 species